rnacentral:rRNA from 1 species
UACGGGGGGGGCAAGCGUUGUUCGGAAUUACUGGGCGUAAAGGGCUCGUAGGCGGCCAACUAAGUCAGACGUGAAAUCCCUCGGCUUAACCGGGGAACUGCGUCUGAUACUGGAUGGCUUGAGUUCGGGAGAGGGAUGUGGAAUUCCAGGUGUAGCGGUAGAAAUGCGUAGAUAUCUGGAGGAACACCGGUGGCGAAGGCGGCAUCCUGGACCGACACUGACGCUGAUGAGCGAAAAGCCAGGGGAGCAAACGGG